UACGGAGGGGGCUAGCGUUGUUCGGAAUUACUGGGCGUAAAGCGCACGUAGGCGGAUUUGUCAGUCAGGGGUGAAAUCCCGGGGCUCAACCUCGGAACUGCCUUUGAUACAGCAAGUCUUGAGUUCGAGAGAGGUGGGUGGAAUUCCUAGUGUAGAGGUGAAAUUCGUAGAUAUUAGGAAGAACACCGGUGGCGAAGGCGGCCCACUGGCUCGAUACUGACGCUGAGGUGCGAAAGCGUGGGGAGCAAACAGG
rnacentral:rRNA from 1 species